UGACUCUAAACUUUACGUAGGUGUGAAUAUGAGCUGCUUGUUUGUUUGUUUGUCUCUAUGGGUCAGCCAUGUGAUGAACUGUCGACCUGUCCAAGGUAUACUCCGCGUUUCACCCAAUGUCAGCUGGGAUCGGUUCCAGCCCCGCGCGACCCUGUAAAGGAUAAGCUUGAUUUAAAAAAUAUUUGAAGUGUCUUUUUUUUUUCCUCUCUGAAUUUUCAGUAUCUAAUUGCAUCCUCUCCCAUUUGCAGGUGAAGGAGAUACCUUUAGCUGCUGUUGAAGCUUGCGUCUACUUUUGAGUACAUGAUUCACCAUAUCAUUAUAUGUCCUGAAUGAUGGUCCAUUGAUCAUUUGUGCUCCCUCCUGUCUGGACAAGGCUUUGUACUCAUAACAGAUUCUGGCCUUUAUCUGCUCCCUCCCUCAUUAAUGUGGUGUAGGUGGCACUGCUGAGCUUGCACAUGAAUGAAACUGUCAAAAGAAAGAGGGAGUGCGUCCUGAAGGCACUUUGUGUCUAUCUGAAUGAAGACCCAGACAUCCUCUUUAAGGAAUACCUG